rnacentral:rRNA from 1 species
AUGAACGCUAGCGGCAGGCUUAACACAUGCAAGUCGAGGGGCAGCAUAAUGGAUAGCAAUAUCUAUGGUGGCGACCGGCGCACGGGUGCGUAACGCGUAUGCAACCUACCUUUAACAGGGGGAUAACACUGAGAAAUUGGUACUAAUACCCCAUAAUAUCAUAGAAGGCAUCUUUUAUGGUUGAAAAUUCCGAUGGUUAGAGAUGGGCAUGCGUUGUAUUAGCUAGUUGGUGGGGUAACGGCUCACCAAGGCGACGAUACAUAGGGGGACUGAGAGGUUAACCCCCCACACUGGUACUGAGACACGGACCAGACUCCUACGGGAGGCAGCAGUGAGGAAUAUUGGUCAAUGGACGCAAGUCUGAACCAGCCAUGCCGCGUGCAGGAUGACGGCUCUAUGAGUUGUAAACUGCUUUUGUACGAGGGUAAACGCAGAUACGUGUAUCUGUCUGAAAGUAUCGUACGAAUAAGGAUCGGCUAACUCCGUGCCAGCAGCCGCGGUAAUACGGAGGAUUCAAGCGUUAUCCGGAUUUAUUGGGUUUAAAGGGUGCGUAGGCGGUUUGAUAAGUUAGAGGUGAAAUUUCGGGGCUCAACCCUGAACGUGCCUCUAAUACUGUUGAGCUAGAGAGUAGUUGCGGUAGGCGGAAUGUAUGGUGUAGCGGUGAAAUGCUUAGAGAUCAUACAGAACACCGAUUGCGAAGGCAGCUUACCAAACUAUAUCUGACGUUGAGGCACGAAAGCGUGGGGAGCAAACAGGAUUAGAUACCCUGGUAGUCCACGCAGUAAACGAUGAUAACUCGUUGUCGGCGAUACACAGUCGGUGACUAAGCGAAAGCGAUAAGUUAUCCACCUGGGGAGUACGUUCGCAAGAAUGAAACUCAAAGGAAUUGACGGGGGCCCGCACAAGCGGUGGAGCAUGUGGUUUAAUUCGAAGCAACGCGAAGAACCUUACCAGGUCUUGACAUCGAUCUAAAAGGGAUGGAGACAUCCUCAUAGCUAUAGAGAAGACAGGUGGUGCAUGGUUGUCGUCAGCUCGUGCCGUGAGGUGUUGGGUUAAGUCCCAUAACGAGCGCAACCCCUACCGUUAGUUGCCAUCAGGUGAAGCUGGGCACUCUGGCGGGACUGCCGGUGUAAGCCGAGAGGAAGGUGGGGAUGACGUCAAAUCAGCACGGCCCUUACGUCCGGGGCUACACACGUGUUACAAUGGUAGGUACAGAGGGCAGCUACCCAGCGAUGGGAUGCGAGUCUCGAAAGCCUAUCUCAGUUCGGAUUGGAGGCUGAAACCCGCCUCCAUGAAGUUGGAUUCGCUAGUAAUCGCGCAUCAGCCAUGGCGCGGUGAAUACGUUCCCGGGCCUUGUACACACCGCCCGUCAAGCCAUGGGAGCCGGGGGUGCCUGAAGUUCGUGACCGCAAGGAGCGACCUAGGGCAAAACUGGUGACUGGGGCU